CAAGUCGAACGCGAAAGGGGCUUCGGUCCUGAGUAGAGUGGCGAACGGGUGAGUAACACGUGGGUGAUCUACCUUCGAGUGGGGGAUAACGUCCCGAAAGGGACGCUAAUACCGCAUGACGUUCCGGGUUUAAAGACCUGGAAACCAAAGCCGGGGACCGCAAGGCCUGGCGCUUGAAGAGGAGCCCGCGUCCGAUUAGCUAGUUGGCGGGGUAAUGGCCCACCAAGGCGACGAUCGGUAGCCGGCCUGAGAGGGCGGACGGCCACACUGGAACUGAGACACGGUCCAGACUCCUACGGGAGGCAGCAGUGGGGAAUUGUUCACAAUGGGCGCAAGCCUGAUGACGCAACGCCGCGUGGGGGAUGAAGGUCUUCGGAUCGUAAACCCCUGUCGAAUGGGACGAAAGACCCGGGAGCUAAUCAUCCUGGGAGUGACGGUACCGUUAAAGGAAGCCACGGCUAACUCUGUGCCAGCAGCCGCGGUAAUACAGAGGUGGCAAGCGUUGUUCGGAAUUACUGGGCGUAAAGGGCGCGUAGGCGGCCUUCUAAGUCAGACGUGAAAUCCCCCGGCUUAACCUGGGAACUGCGUCUGAUACUGGAGGGCUUGAGUAUGGGAGAGGGAUGUAGAAUUCCAGGUGUAGCGGUGAAAUGCGUAGAUAUCUGGAGGAAUACCGGUGGCGAAGGCGGCAUCCUGGACCAUUACUGACGCUGAGGCGCGAAAGCUAGGGGAAGCAAACGGGAUUAGAUACCCCGGUAGUCCUAGCCCUAAACGAUGAAGACUUGGUGUGGCGGGUAUCGAUCCCUGCCGUGCC
rnacentral:rRNA from 1 species